UAUAGUAUACCUGCACAUACACAUAUAUAUUGACCUUUCUUCUUCUAAUUUUCCAGUUCACACAUCACAAACCCCUCUCUUUUCUCUUCGUCAAAUGCCAUGAAGCUUUCAUACAUCUUCCUUGCAGCUUUGCUUGUUACUGUCGUCGUCCCGGUCAACUCCUCCUCAGCCCAGCACCAACAAGAUGAGAUGACGGCCGAGAUGGGACAUUCUGAUGAUGAGGAGGGCAGGGCCAAGAUGAUGACGAGGCAGGAGAUCACAAACAGAGUGCAUACGCUUCAGAUCGCAGGAUCGAGGCUGCCCGACUGCUCCCAUGCAUGCGGUUCGUGCUCCCCGUGUAGGCUCGUGUCGGUCGGCAACAUGUGCGCAGUGCUCGCCGAAGCUGAGUCCUGCCCCGUAUCCUACCGUUGUAUGUGUAAAAAUAAGUCAUAUCCCGUGCCCUAGCUAGAUAGUAGUCAAUUAAUUAACCGCCCUCUCUGUCGAUGUAGUGCGAUAUAUGUGAUUGUUAUUGUGUGCUUCCCUUAAAACUUAA